UCAAAUGGCUUUCCCAUUUAGGUUUUUAUAGAAUAUCAUGCAGAUUUUCCUGUGCUAUAGAGUCAGUUCUUGUUGGUUAUCUAUCUUAAAUAUAGUAGUGUGUAGAUGUCAAUCCCAAACUCCCAAUCUAUACCCCACCAUUCUUCUUUACUGGUAACCAUAAGAUUGUUCUCUAAGUUUGUGAGUCUGUUUCUGUUUUGUAAAUAAGUUCAUUUGUAUCAUUUUUUAAGAUUCUUCAUAUAAGCAUUAUCAUAUGAUAUUUGUUUUUUCUUUCUGACUUACUUCACUUACUUAAUUUAUGAUAAUCUCCAGGUUCAUCCAUGUUGCUGCAAAUGGCAUUAUUUCAUGCUUUUUAAUGGCUGAAUAAUAUUCCAUUGUAUAUAUGUACCACAUCUUCUUUAUCCAUUCAUCUGUUGAUGGACAUUUAGGUUGCUUUCAUGUCUUGGUUUUUGUAAACAGCACUACAAUGAACGCUGAAGUGCAUGUAUUCUUUCAAACCUCAUUUUUCUCUGGAUGUAUGCCCAGGAGUGGAAUUAGUGGAUCAUAUGGAGCAUCCCUUGGACUGCAAGGAGAUCCAACUGGUCCAUCCUAAAGGAGAUCAGUCCUGGGUGUUUGUUGGAAGGACUGACGUUGAAGCUGAAACUCCAGUACUUUGGCCGCCUGAUGCGAAAAACUGACUCAUUUGAAAAGACCCUGGUGCUGUGAAAGAUUGAAGGCAGGAGAAGGGGACGACAGAGGAUGAGAUGAUUGGAUGGCAUCACCAACUCGAUGGACAUGAGUUUGAGUAGACUCCAGGAGUUGGUGAUGGACAGGGAGGCCUGGCGUGCUGCGAUUCAUGGGGUCACAAAGAGUCGGACACGACUGAGCAACUGAACUGAACUGAACUGAUGGGCCCACUGUUCGCUCUACAGCUUCCUUGGUGAGAAGAAGUGGUGGUGAUGGCAGCCGCAGCAACACGGACUGACUGCUCUCGUCCCCCAGUCCCUGCACUGUAGCUUCAUGGGCGCCCAGAAGCCAAGGCAACAGUGGCGACAGACUGGGAGCAGGUUCUUGACUCAGGCAUGGCUCCAUUGGUGUCUCACCGGUAGUAGUAGACAUUUAAGAAGCACCAGCUAUUUUUCAAGCAUUGGAGAACAGAGAUGAACAAAUGCUGGCCCUCAGGAAUAUAUCAGGAAAGAGAUCUGACACCACACAAACUCCUCCUCCUCCAUCCCCUGUACCCAGCUAGUCACCUCAACAGUAUCUUUAGGUCUUUGGAUGGAGAUGACUUUAGACUGCCAAGAAAAGGCAUAAUUCUUCUUAUUCUGAGGACUGCAGUCAUGGUGAAGACAGAAACUGUUUGCAUUAGCUGAUGAAAUCCAGAACUUGAUGGAGCACCACAGACCUUAUGUUGGAGGAGGGUAAGGAUCUUGUGGGAUCUGACUGGAUACCCAGCGGAUUGAUGUUGGAUCUCAGAAACUGAACUACUGCUUGGCCAAGUAAGCACUUCUCUAGCUUACCUUGUAACAUAUAUGGCCAGAGGCUGGCACCAGCCAUAUAGAUAUGCACAGUUUGCUGGGUCAGGUCCUAUGAGGAAAUCAAGAUUAUAUCAAAGGGAUUCUUUAUAAGCUGUUGCGGGGAGAGCAGUCUAUUGCAUCAUUCCUAAUGGCAUUAUACUCAUAAGGACUGUACUAAAUCGGGAAUAACUGCUUUUAUUGUCUCUGGAUUCAUACUAGUCUGUGUGCCCCCAGAGGUUACUUGCUAUAAAUACUUAUUGUACAUUACCAGUCUUACAAACUGGGGAGUGAUGGUGAUGUAAAUUGGGAGUCUUACAAACUUAGAUGGUGAUGAUGUUGAGAAUCAGGAGUCUUAUGUAACCUCACUUGCUCACUUUUAUAUAACACAAUAAGAAUCAGAACCUAGGAAGGGGAGAGAGAAGGGCAAGUGAGCCUUCACUGCAAA